GGGCAGGUAUCCAAGUGGACAAAGGACACGGUCUGUAAAACCGCUGCCGGAACGGCUUCGCAGGUUCGAAUCCUGCCCUGCCCACCU
rnacentral:tRNA from 1 species